rnacentral:tRNA from 4 species
UGCCUCAUAGCUCAAUGGUAGAGCCACGCGCUGUUAACGCGGGGGUUGUAGGUUCGAGUCCUACUGGGGCAGCCA